rnacentral:rRNA from 1 species
UAUGUAGGUGGCAAGCGUUGUCCGGAUUUAUUGGGUUUAAAGGGUGCGUAGGCGGCCUUGUAAGUCAGUGGUGAAAUACUCCAGCUUAACUGGAGGGGUGCCAAUGAUACUGCAGGGCUUGAGUACAGAUGAGGUAGGCGGAAUUGACGGUGUAGCGGUGAAAUGCAUAGAUAUCGUCAAGAACACCGAUAGCGAAGGCAGCUUACUGGGCUGUAACUGACGCUGAGGCACGAAAGUGUGGGGAUCAAACAGG